rnacentral:rRNA from 1 species
GACGAACGCUGGCGGCGUGCUUAACACAUGCAAGUCGAACGGAAAGGCCCUGCUUUUGUGGGGUGCUCGAGUGGCGAACGGGUGAGUAACACGUGAGUAACCUGCCCUUGACUUUGGGAUAACUUCAGGAAACUGGGGCUAAUACCGGAUAGGAGCUCCUGCUGCAUGGUGGGGGUUGGAAAGUUUCGGCGGUUGGGCAUGGACUCGCGGCUUAUCAGCUUGUUGGUGGGGUAGUGGCUUACCAAGGCUUUGACGGGUAGCCGGCCUGAGAGGGUGACCGGCCACAUUGGGACUGAGAUACGGCCCAGACUCCUACGGGAGGCAGCAGUGGGGAAUAUUGCACAAUGGGUGGAAGCCUGAUGCAGCAACGCCGCGUGCGGGAUGACGGCCUUCGGGUUGUAAACCGCUUUCGCCUGUGACGAAGCGUGAGUGACGGUAAUGGGUAAAGAAGCACCGGCUAACUACGUG